rnacentral:rRNA from 1 species
GUGAGGAAUUUUCCGCAAUGGGCGAAAGCCUGACGGAGCAAUGCCGCGUGAAGGAUGAAGGCCUAUGGGUUGUAAACUUCUUUUCUCAGAAAAGAAUUAUGACGGUAUCUGAGGAAUAAGCAUCGGCUAACUCUGUGCCAGCAGCCGCGGUAAGACAGAGGAUGCAAGCGUUAUCCGGAAUGAUUGGGCGUAAAGCGUCUGUAGGUUGUUUAAAAAGUAUUCUGUCAAAGAUUAGGGCUUAACUCUAGAUAGGCAGAAUAAACUUUUAAGCUAGAGUUUGGUAGAGGCAGAGGGAAUUCCCGGUGGAGCGGUGAAAUGCGUAGAUAUCGGGAGGAACACCAAAGGCGAAGGCACUCUGCUGGGCCAAUACUAACACUGAGAGACGAAAGCGAGGGGAGCAAAUGGGAUUAGAUACCCCUGUAGUCC